AGUGAACGCUGGCGGUAGGCCUAACACAUGCAAGUCGAACGGCAGCUCAGUAAGAGCUUGCUCUUACGGGUGGCGAGUGGCGGACGGGUGAGGAAUACAUCGGAAUCUACUUUUUCGUGGGGGAUAACGUAGGGAAACUUACGCUAAUACCGCAUACGACCUACGGGUGAAAGCAGGGGAUCUUCGGACCUUGCGCGAUUGAAUGAGCCGAUGUCGGAUUAGCUAGUUGGCGGGGUAAAGGCCCACCAAGGCGACGAUCCGUAGCUGGUCUGAGAGGAUGAUCAGCCACACUGGAACUGAGACACGGUCCAGACGCCUACGGGAGGCAGCAGUGGGGAAUAUUGGACAAUGGGCGCAAGCAUGAUCCAGCCAUACCGCGUGGGUGAAGAAGGCCUUCGGGUUGUAAAGCCCUUUUGUUGGGAAAGAAAAGCAGCAGGUUAAUACCCCGCUGUUCUGACGGUACCCAAAGAAUAAGCACCGGCUAACUUCGUG
rnacentral:rRNA from 1 species